AGUCAACAUACCCAGAGGACGUGGAUAACCUCGGGAAACUGAGUCUAAACCGCGAUAGGUCAAGAUUCCUGGAAUGGUUCCUGAUCGAAAUCUAUAUGGCCUUUGGAUUGGACUGCGGCCGAUCAGGCUGUUGGUGAGGUAAUGGCCCACCAAACCUGUAACCGGUACGGGCUCUGAGAGGAGGAGCCCGGAGAUGGGCACUGAGACAAGGGCCCAGGCCCUAUGGGGCGCAGCAGGCGCGAAACCUCUGCAAUAGGCGAAAGCCUGACAGGGUUACUCUGAGUGACUUUCGUUAAGAGAGUCUUUUGGCACCUCUAAAAAGGGUGUAGAAUAAGGGGUGGGCAAGUCUGGUGUCAGCCGCCGCGGUAAUACCAGCACCCCGAGUGGUCGGGACGAUUAUUGGGCCUAAAGCAUCCGUAGCCGGUUCUGCAAGUCCUCCGUUAAAUCCAACUGCUUAACAGAUGGGCCGCGGAGGAUACUACAGAGCUAGGAGGCAGGAGAGGCAAGCGGUACUCAGUGGGUAGGGGUAAAAUCCGUUGAUCCAUUGAAGACCACCAGUGGCGAAGGCGGCUUGCCAGAAUGCGCUCGACGGUGAGGGAUGAAAGCUGGGGGAGCAAACCGGAUUAGAUACCCGGGUAGUCCCAGCCGUAAACGAUGCAGACUCGGUGAUGGGUUGGCUUCGUGCUAACCCAGUGCCGCAGGGAAGCCGUUAAGUCUGCCGCCUGGGUAGUACGGUCGCAAGACUGAAACUUAAAGGAAUUGGCGGGGGAGCACCACAAGGGGUGAAGCCUGCGGUU
rnacentral:rRNA from 2 species